GGAAGAGCUGGGUGACACUCCAAACGCUCCACCCCACUUCUGUUACGACGCCCCUCAGGAUGGCUCUGCGAAUGGCCCCCCUACUGCUCCUGGCCUUAGCAUGGGAGGCCUGGGGAGAGAGGGAGAAGCCCGAAUUCUGCAGGGAAGUUGCUGAAUGUUUCAACUUUGACCUCAACUGCACCAGCCCUGACUACCAGGGCCGGCUUUACCCCCCCUCAGCCUGGGUCAGCACCCGCGUGAACAGCACCUACGCUGCGGCCAAGGUGACCGGCUUCUGGCGCCUCCUCCGCUACAUCCAGGGCCAGAACCA